CAGGAAGCAAAGAGGACUCAUACAUUCCGUUCUGUUUUUGUUGGACUAUGUAGCAGUGACAACGGAGCUCAGUCUCUGGAGGAUUGCAUCUGUCAUUGCCAUUUUCUCUUUCUCCAAGGAAAAGAGACACCUCUGCUUUCUGAGUCUGAAAUCUCAUCUUUUAUUUGAGGGACAAACAAUGCAAGACAAUGCCUGCAGCGGGGAAAGCCAGUUGGGAAAUGUCUCAGAUUGUUCACCAGAGUCCCCAGACUCAUGUCCAGUGUCCUGCAUUGAAUCCUUUACGGUCCGCAGGCUUUCUUGCCGGACCCUCCAGCUGCCCCCUCUAGCCUUCAGGCAGGCUGUGCAGUACUACUGUGAGAGGAAA